AUGAACGCUGGCGGCGUGCCUAAUACAUGCAAGUCGAGCGAACAGACGAGGAGCUUGCUCCUCUGACGUUAGCGGCGGACGGGUGAGUAACACGUGGAUAACCUACCUAUAAGACUGGGAUAACUUCGGGAAACCGGAGCUAAUACCGGAUAAUAUAUUGAACCGCAUGGUUCAAUAGUGAAAGACGGUUUUGCUGUCACUUAUAGAUGGAUCCGCGCCGCAUUAGCUAGUUGGUAAGGUAACGGCUUACCAAGGCAACGAUGCGUAGCCGACCUGAGAGGGUGAUCGGCCACACUGGAACUGAGAAAAGGUCCAGAAUCCUAAGGGAGGCAGCAGUAGGGAAUCUUCCGCAAAGGGCGAAAGCCUGAAGGAGCAAAGCCGCGUGAGUGAUGAAGGUCUUCGGAUCGUAAAACUCUGUUAUUAGGGAAGAACAAAUGUGUAAGUAACUAUGCACGUCUUGAAGGUACCUAAUCAGAAAGCCACGGCUAACUAAGUG
rnacentral:rRNA from 1 species